AGUGAACGCUGGCGGUAGGCCUAACACAUGCAAGUCGAACGGCAGCACAGUAAGAGCUUGCUCUUACGGUUGGCGAGUGGCGGACGGGUGAGGAAUACAUCGGAAUCUACUUUUUCGUGGGUGAUAACGUAGGGAAACUUACGCUACUACCGCAUACGACCUACGGGUGAAUGCAGGGGAUCUUCGGACCUUUCCCGACUGAUUGAGCCGAUGUCGGAUUAGCUAGUUGGCAGGGUAAAGGCCCACCAAGGCGACGAUCCGUAGCCGGUCUGAGAGGAUGAUCGGCCACACUGGAACUGAGACACGGUCCAGACUCCUACGGGAGGCAGCAGUGGGGAAUAUUGGACAAUGGGCGAAAGCCUGAUCCAGCAAUACCGCGUGAGUGAAGAAGGCCUUCGGGUUGUAAAGCCCUUUUGUUGGGAAAGAAAAGCAGCAGGUUAAUACCCCGAUGUUCUGACGGUACCCAAAGAAUAAGCACCGGCUAACUUCGUG
rnacentral:rRNA from 1 species